rnacentral:rRNA from 1 species
UACGUAGGGUGCAAGCGUUGUCCGGAAUUAUUGGGCGUAAAGAGCUCGUAGGCGGUCUGUUGCGUCCGCUGUGAAAACUCGGGGCUUAACCCCGAGCCUGCAGUGGAUACGGGCAGACUAGAGGUAGGUAGGGGAGAAUGGAAUUCCCGGUGUAGCGGUGAAAUGCGCAGAUAUCAGGAGGAACACCGAUGGCGAAGGCAGGUCUCUGGGCCGAUACUGACGCUGAGGAGCGAAAGCGUGGGGAGCGAACAGG